rnacentral:rRNA from 1 species
UACGAAGGGGGCUAGCGUUGCUCGGAAUCACUGGGCGUAAAGCGCACGUAGGCGGAUUGUUAAGUCAGGGGUGAAAUCCUGGAGCUCAACUCCAGAACUGCCUUUAAUACUGGCGGCCUUGAGUAUGGCAGAGGUGUGUGGAACUCCGAGUGUAGAGGUGAAAUUCGUAGAUAUUCGGAAGAACACCAGUGGCGAAGGCGACACACUGGGCCAUUACUGACGCUGAGGCGCGAAAGCGUGGGGAGCAAACAGG